UGUCUUUCAUGGAAGGAACCCAGCCCAUUGCUUAUGGUGUUUAAACGUUGUGAACCUUUUUGAAUUUUCAAUAUUUCUGCAUAGAUAUGAUCUAAAAUGUUCUCCACACAAGUCCUAAACUAGAUACAGAGAAUCCAGUUAAACAAAUGAGUAGAAA